GGGGAUUUAGCUCAGUGGUAGAGCGCUUGCCUAGGAAGCGCAAGGCCCUGGGUUCAGUCCCCA
rfam:Rattus norvegicus chromosome 7, whole genome shotgun sequence.